CCUACGGGUGGCAGCAGUGAGGAAUAUUGGUCAAUGGACGGAAGUCUGAACCAGCCAUGCCGCGUGCAGGAAGACGGCCCUAUGAGUUGUAAACUGCUUUUGUAAAAGGGUAAACCUGAAUACGUGUAUUCAGCUGAAAGUACUGUACGAAUAAGGAUCGGCUAACUCCGUGCCAGCAGCCGCGGUAAUACGGAGGAUCCAAGCGUUAUCCGGAUUUAUUGGGUUUAAAGGGUGCGUAGGUGGAUUGAUAAGUUAGAUGUGAAAUGUUCGAGCUUAACUCGAGAAUUGCCUCUAAUACUGUUGGUCUAGAGAGUAGAUGCGGUAGGCGGAAUGUAUGGUGUAGCGGUGAAAUGCUUAGAGAUCAUACAGAACACCGAUUGCGAAGGCAGCUUACCAAUCUAUAUCUGACGUUGAGGCACGAAAGCGUGGGGAGCAAACAGGAUUAGAUACCCGGGUAGUC
rnacentral:rRNA from 1 species